rnacentral:rRNA from 1 species
AACGAACGCUGGCGGCAUGCCUAACACAUGCAAGUCGAACGAGACCUUCGGGUCUAGUGGCGCACGGGUGCGUAACGCGUGGGAACCUGCCCUUAGGUUCUGAAUAACUCCCCGAAAGGGGUGCUAAUACCGGAUAAUGUCUUCGGACCAAAGAUUUAUCGCCUUUGGAUGGGCCCGCGUUGGAUUAGCUAGUUGGUAGGGUAAAAGCCUACCAAGGCGACGAUCCAUAGCUGGUCUGAGAGGAUGAUCAGCCACACUGGGACUGAGACACGGCCCAGACUCCUACGGGAAGCAGCAGUGGGGAAUAUUGGACAAUGGGCGAAAGCCUGAUCCAGCAAUGCCGCGUGAGUGAUGAAGGCCUUAGGGUUGUAAAGCUCUUUUACCCGGGAUGAUAAUGACAGUACCGGGAGAAUAAGCUCCGGCUAACUCCGUG